CUACUGAGCGGAGAGGUUCCUAUAAGGUGUCAGGAUGUCACUGUCUAUUUCUCCAUGGAGGAGUGGGAGUAUUUAGAAGAACACAAGGAUCUGUACAAGGACGCCAUGAUGGAGAAUCACCAGCCCCUCACAUCACCGGUUGAGGAAGGUAACAGAACACU